CGAUUCCCCCCAACUUGCCCAGGGAGCGGGUGUCCAAGCUGGCUGCGCCGGAGACGAGGCUGCACACGACCAGCGGCAGGAUGAUCAUCUUCAGCAUGCGGAGGAGCAUCUCACCCGGGAAGGCAAACACAGAGCAGCGUGGGAAGCUUGAUCCGCGUGUGCUCAACUCCAGCGUGGCUUGGACAACGAAGGCUGGAGCCGGCGUGGGGGAUGACGCCUGGCGGUGGGAGCCAAUCGUGUUGAGGGAAACAUGCGCACUAGUAUGCAGACCCUAGCCCGCACAUGAUGCAAGAUGAUGAAAGACAGACUGUCCCUCCCAUCCCCUCACAGCUGUGGCCUAAAUGCUGGAAAUAACCAGCAGCCCUGCGGAACAGAAGUCAUGACUGUCCAACAGUGGCAGCAAAUGUUGGUGCUGUGCCAGUGUCAACGAGAAGAGAAGACAAACAGAGUGGAAGACAUAGCAAAAGGAUCAGCUUUCUUCUGCAGAGAGUCAGUGUGAUAUCCAGACACUUAAGAUUUGGUGCAAAGACAAACAGACAGCCGUGCAGUGCUGUCACAAUCCAAUAUUAUUAGAAUAGAUUAUUAUAUUGAUUAUUCCAUUGAUUAAUCAAAUAAAAGGACAAGAGGA